GACGAACGCUGGCGGCGUGCUUAACACAUGCAAGUCGAACGGAAAGGCCCUGCUUGCAGGGUACUCGAGUGGCGAACGGGCGAGUAACACGUGGGUGAUCUGCCCUGCACUUCGGGUUAAGCCUGGGCAACUGGGUCUAAUACCGGAUAGGAGCCAUUUUUAGCGUGAUGGUUGGAAAGUUUUUUCGGUGUUGGAUGAGCUCGCGGCCUAGCAGCUUGUUGGUGGGGUAAUGGCCUACCAAGGCGGCGACGGGUAGCCGGCCUGCGGGGGUGGACGGCCACAUUGGGACUGAGAUACGGCCGAGACUCCGACGGGAGGCAGAAGGGGGGAAGAUUGCACAAGGAGCGCAAGCCUGAUGAAGAGAGGCCGCGUGGGGGAUGACGGCCUUCGGGUUGAAGACUCCUUUCGCUAGGAACGAAGCUUUUUGUGACGGUACCUAGAGAAGAAGCACCGGCUAACUACGUG
rnacentral:rRNA from 1 species